GGGGGCGUAAAGGUUUCGACAGGGGUGGUUGUGGCAUAGGCAGCGAGCCGGGAUUCCAUCAGCCCGUCAAUACGGUGGAAAAGCAUAAUUGCAAACAACGAAUACGCUUUAGCAGCUUAAUGCUAACGUUCUACCGUCCCUCUUCCUGUGGGGAAGGCUAGGACGUCACAAUGCA
rnacentral:tmRNA from 1 species